AGAGUUUGAUCCUGGCUCAGAGCGAACGCUGGCGGCAGGCUUAACACAUGCAAGUCGAGCGGGCAUCCUUGUGGUGUCAGCGGCAGACGGGUGAGUAACGCGUGGGAACGUGCCCUUCGGUUCGGAAUAACUCAGGGAAACUUGAGCUAAUACCGGAUACGCCCUUCUGGGGAAAGGCUUGCUGCCGAAGGAUCGGCCCGCGUCUGAUUAGCUGGUUGGUGAGGUUACGGCUCACCAAGGCGACGAUCAGUAGCUGGCCUGAGAGGGUGGUCAGCCACACGGGGACUGAGACACUGCCCCGACUCCUACGGGAGGCUGCAGUCGAGGAUCUUUAGCAAUGGGCGCAAGCCUGACUAUGCGACGCCGCGUGAGGGAUGAAGGUCUUCGGAUCGUAAACCUCUUUCGAUGGGAAAGAAAACCUCCGCCAUGAAUAGUGGCGGAGACUGACGGUACCCAGAGAAGAAGCCACGGCUAACUCCGUGCCAGCAGCCGCGGUAAUACGGAGGUGGCGAGCGUUACUCGGAUUCAUUGGGUGUAAAGGGCAGGUAGGCGGCUAUGUAAGUCGAUGGUGAAAUCCUUAAGCUUAACUUAAGAACUGCCUUCGAAACUGCAUGGCUUGAGGCCAGAAGAGGAGAACGGAAUUCCCGGUGUAAGGGUGAAAUCUGUAGAUAUCGGGAGGAACGCCAGUAGCGAAAGCGGUUCUCUGGUCUGGCCCUGACGCUGAGCUGCGAAAGCUAGGGGAGCAAACAGGAUUAGAUACCCUGGUAGUCC
rnacentral:rRNA from 1 species